rnacentral:tRNA from 1 species
GGGGAUGUAACUCAAUGGUAAAGCACUUGCCUAGCAUGCAUGAGUCCCUGGGUUCCACUCCCAGCACUCCA